GAGUUUGAUCCUGGCUCAGGACGAACGCUGGCGGCGUGCCUAAUACAUGCAAGUAGAACGCUGAUGGAGGAGCUUGCUUCUCUGGAUGAGUUGCGAACGGGUGAGUAACGCGUAGGUAACCUGCCUGGCAGCGGGGGAUAACUAUUGGAAACGAUAGCUAAUACCGCAUAAGAGUAGAUGUUGCAUGACAUUUGCUUAAAAGGUGCACUUGCAUCACUACCAGAUGGACCUGCGUUGUAUUAGCUAGUUGGUGGGGUAAGGGCUCACCAAGGCGACGAUACAUAGCCGACCUGAGAGGGUGAUCGGCCACACUGGGACUGAGACACGGCCCAGACUCCUACGGGAGGCAGCAGUAGGGAAUCUUCGGCAAUGGACGGAAGUCUGACCGAGCAACGCCGCGUGAGUGAAGAAGGUUUUCGGAUCGUAAAGCUCUGUUGUAAGAGAAGAACGAGUGUGAGAGUGGAAAGUUCACACUGUGACGGUAUCUUACCAGAAAGGGACGGCUAACUACGUGCCAGCAGCCGCGGUAAUACGUAGGUCCCGAGCGUUGUCCGGAUUUAUUGGGCGUAAAGCGAGCGCAGGCGGUUAGAUAAGUCUGAAGUUAAAGGCUGUGGCUUAACCAUAGUAGGCUUUGGAAACUGUUUAACUUGAGUGCAAGAGGGGAGAGUGGAAUUCCAUGUGUAGCGGUGAAAUGCGUAGAUAUAUGGAGGAACACCGGUGGCGAAAGCGGCUCUCUGGCUUGUAACUGACGCUGAGGCUCGAAAGCGUGGGGAGCAAACAGGAUUAGAUACCCUGGUAGUCCACGCUGUAAACGAUGAGUGCUAGGUGUUAGACCCUUUCCGGGGUUUAGUGCCGUAGCUAACGCAUUAAGCACUCCGCCUGGGGAGUACGACCGCAAGGUUGAAACUCAAAGGAAUUGACGGGGGCCCGCACAAGCGGUGGAGCAUGUGGUUUAAUUCGAAGCAACGCGAAGAACCUUACCAGGUCUUGACAUCCCUCUGACCGCUCUAGAGAUAGAGUUUCCUCGGGACAGAGGUGACAGGUGGUGCAUGGUUGUCGUCAGCUCGUGUCGUGAGAUGUUGGGUUAAGUCCCCGCAACGAGCGCAACCCCUAUUGUUAGUUGCCAUCAUUUAGUUGGGCACUCUAGCGAGACUGCCGGUAAUAAACCGGAGGAAGGUGGGGAUGACGUCAAAUCAUCAUGCCCCUUAUGACCUGGGCUACACACGUGCUACAAUGGCUGGUACAACGAGUCGCAAGCCGGUGACGGCAAGCUAAUCUCUUAAAGCCAGUCUCAGUUCGGAUUGUAGGCUGCAACUCGCCUACAUGAAGUCGGAAUCGCUAGUAAUCGCGGAUCAGCACGCCGCGGUGAAUACGUUCCCGGGCCUUGUACACACCGCCCGUCACACCACGAGAGUUUGUAACACCCGAAGUCGGUGAGGUAACCGUAAGGAGCCAGCCGCCUAAGGUGGGAUAGAUGAUUGGGGUGAAGUCGUAACAAGGUAGCCGUAUCGGAAGGUGCGGCUGGAUCACC
rnacentral:rRNA from 1 species